rnacentral:rRNA from 1 species
AUUCCAGCUCCAAUAGCGUAUAUUAAAGUUGUUGUGGUUAAAAAGCUCGUAGUUGGAUCUCGGCGGUCUGAGGGCGGUUCGCUUCAGAGCGCUACUGCCCUAUAGACCGUAGUUUUGCCAGAGGUCUCAGGGUGCUCUUAACCGAGUGUCUUGCGAUGCUGGCAGGUUUACUUUGAAAAAAUUAGAGUGCUCAAAGCAGGCUUUUACGCCUGAAUAUUCGUGCAUGGAAUAAUAGAAUAGGAAGUCGUUUCUAUUUUAUUGGUUUUCGGAAAUCGACUUAAUGAUUAAUAGGGACAGUCGGGGGCAUUUGUAUUCAAACGACAGAGGUGAAAUUCUUGGACCGUUUGAAGACAAACUACUGCGAAAGCAUUUGCCAAGAAUGUUUUCAUUA